AUACUUAUCUGGCAGGGGAGACACCAUGAUCACAAAAGUGGCUUCCCUAGGGUGAGGCUUGUCCAUUGCACAGCAGAUGAGCUGACCUGUGUGAUUUCCCCAAAUGUGGGAAACUCGACUGCAUGAUUUAUGGUAGUGUGGGACUGCAUUCGUGCUUUCCACUG
rfam:Cavia porcellus supercont2_57 genomic scaffold, whole genome shotgun sequence.